rnacentral:rRNA from 1 species
GCAGCAGUCGAGAAUCCUCCGCAAUACACGAAAGUGUGACGGGGCCAUCCCGAGUGCCGUCCGGCUGAGGACGGCUUUUCCCCAGUGUACAUAGCUGGGGAAUAAGGAGAGGGCAAGCCUGGUGUCAGCCGCCGCGGUAAGUACCAGCUCUCCGAGUGGUGGGGACGCUUAUUGGGCCUAAAGCAUCCGUAGCCGGCUAGGCAAGUCCUCCGUUAAAUCCAACGAUUCAAUCGUUGGGCUGCGGGGGAUACUGUCCAGCUUGGGGGCGGGAGAGGCCGACGGUAUUCCCC